rnacentral:rRNA from 1 species
GAUGAACGCUGGCGGCGUGCUUAACACAUGCAAGUCGAACGGAAAGGCCCAAGCUUGCUUGGGUACUCGAGUGGCGAACGGGUGAGUAACACGUGGGUGAGCUGCCCUGCACUUCGGGAUAAGCCUGGGAAACUGGGGCUAAUACCGGAUAGGACGAUGGUAUGGAUGCCAUUGUGGAAAGUUUUUUCGGUGUGGGAUGAGCUCGCGGCCUAUCAGCUUGUUGGUGGGGUAAUGGCCUACCAAGGCGUCGACGGGUAGCAGGCCUGAGAGGGUGUACGGCCAGAUUAGAACUGAGAGACAGCCCAGAGUCGGACAGGAGGCAGAAGUGGGGAAUAUUGCACAAUGCGCGCAAGCCUGAUGGAGGGAGGCCGCGUGGGGGAUGACGGCCUUCGGGUUGUAAGCUCCUUGCGCUAGGGACGAAGCGUUUUUGUGACGGUACCUGGAGAAGAAGCACCGGCUAACUACGUG